rnacentral:rRNA from 1 species
UACGUAGGUGGCAAGCGUUGUCCGGAAUUAUUGGGCGUAAAGCGCGCGCAGGUGGUUUCUUAAGUCUGAUGUGAAAGCCCACGGCUCAACCGUGGAGGGUCAUUGGAAACUGGGGAACUUGAGUGCAGGAGAGAAGAGUGGAAUUCCACGUGUAGCGGUGAAAUGCGUAGAGAUGUGGAGGAACACCAGUGGCGAAGGCGAGUCCCUGGACGAUACCUGACACUGAGGCACGAAAGCCAAGGGAGCAAACAGG